rnacentral:lncRNA from 10 species
GACACUAAUGAUGAGACUGAGUUAGGAUGCCAGAGGAGAGUUUAUGAGACAUCAAGGGAAUUGAAGCAGCACUGGCAGGGAGUGUCUCAGACUAUGAUAAGGAUCUGACAAGGUCUCAGCCGACCUAACACAGAGCUCCAGAGCAAAGAUUUCCCACUGCACAGCUGGUAUCACGCACUGAUCAGUCACUGGCUGGGCACUGCUGGGGAAGAGUGUUGCCUCAGCUCAAAAGCAGAAUCGGAUCCUGAAGGACCUAAUGACUAGAAACUUCCAGCUGACUACACUCUGCAACUGACUGAUUUGAACGUCUAUAGAAUAUUACAUCUCUUUGACCUGAAGGACUUGCUUUAGCAUUUCUUGUACUACAAGUCUGAUGGAGUUCUAUUGACUGUAGUAAUUUUAUGGAGGAGCUUUGAGGGGCAUAUAUGGGAAGAGAGAAAUUUGGAAAAUAUGUGGAGCAGGUGUACAGAACGAAUAUACAUCUAUUUAUUCCAAAAGAGUGAGAAAUUUGGAUCACAUUUAUUUCUGUUUUUCCUAACUUGGAAGAUUUGUUUGGAAACUUAAAAUAAAAGAGAAUCAAAGAAAAAGAUUAAGAAGCCCUUGGAUCAGAAGAGACUACAUACAUAUGACAACUAAAUGCAAUAUGCAAUUCUGCAUUGAAUUGGAUCCCGUUGAGGAAGAGGACAUCAGUGAAAUAAUAGUGUCUUGCACCUACUGAAUCACAAGUGAUGCAAUUUGCUCAUCUAUAAAUAAUAAUAUCCACUUCAAAGGAAUACUGUGAAUGUGAUUAGGCAACACAGAUGGCACAUUGCAUAAAGAAACGCGAACCCAGCAGCACUCCUGCCAGCGGCAAUUCUGAGUGCUCAUUUCCACUUUGCCAAGACAUUACAUGGGAAGGCAUGUGCGUUUAAGGGCAUCCAAUUGUUUCUGUAUCAGAACAGCAGCAACAUCCCGGGCAGGCCUUUCCUCUGGAGUUCACGUGUAGGUCGUACUGACACACAACAUGGCCUAAAUGGACCAUGGAGGAGGAAGGGACCCCAAAUCCAGGCCAAAUGGGAGCAGGGUUGUCCUCAGGAGGACCCCAGCUAGAAGACUUUCUCUGGAACCCACGGUGCCUCUCACUAAAGUGCCCCAACGUUGGCACAACACCUACCGAAUUGUUGUUGCUGACUCUCUAUGCCCAUGAUUCAACCAGAACAACAUUGAUUCGUUAAAAGGUGCAUGAAUAAACUUGACUCUGGAAACAACAACA